CACACUGGGACUGAGACACGGCCCAGACUCCUACGGGAGGCAGCAGUGGGGAAUAUUGCACAAUGGGGGAAACCUUGAUGCAGCCAUGCCGCGUGUGUGAGGAAGGCCUUCGGGUUGUAAAGCACUUUCAGAUGUGAGGAAAGGUUAGUAGUUAAUACCUGCUAGCCGUGACGUUAACAACAGAAGAAGCGCCGGCUAACUCCGUGCCAGCAGCCGCGGUAAUACGGAGGGUGCGAGCGUUAUUCGCGAUUACUGGGCGUAAAGCGCACGCAGGCGGUUCGUUAAGCUAGAUGUGAAAGCCCCGGGCUCAACCUGGGAUGGUCAUUUAGAACUGGCAGACUAGAGUCUUGGAGAGGGGAGUGGAAUUCCAGGUGUAGCGGUGAGAUGCGUAGAUAUCUGGAGGAGCAUCAGUGG
rnacentral:rRNA from 1 species